rnacentral:lncRNA from 1 species
AAAAAAGAUAUUUAGGUCUUGAGGAAGUUUAUUUACAUAUAACCAUCCUUCUUAUCUUAAUGAUUGUAGUGAUACUAACAGUAAGGAUAUAAAUAGCAGAUGAAAACCUUAUUUCAUUUCUCAGAAGGAUAUUAGCAAGUCGUACAUCCCCUAGAUUAAUGAAAUAUACUCUGCAUUUAACUUUCAGUGUAUAAACUGGAUCAUUCUAUGCAUAUUAUUUGAAACGUGCCUUUUUUCCAGAGAACAUGCCUCGUCUUUCAAACACACAGGCCCUUUUCUCCCCUUUAAUUUUAUUGCAGUAUAAUUUUCAAUAAUUUUUUUUAAUAUAGAGUUCUGAGCCUUUGGACAAGCAUGAGGCAUGUAACCACUGCACAGAGAAGGAUGGGGAAGGCCUGUCUCCCCCGCCCCCUCCGGGACCACCCUUGCCCUUUGGGAAGGUGCCAGGGGUGGAACCUGCCGUGAGCCCAGGAGCCCCCGGCCUCUGAAAUUCCGCCUCAUGGGCCUCUUCUCAGUCUGUUCCUUUUUGCAUCCAAAAAGUUUUCCAUGCUAUGAAGCCACCACAGCUUAACUCCUAAGUCACUGAGGUUGUUUCCAGUUUGAAGGGUUAGGAUAAAGCUGCACUGGGCUGGGGCUGGGGCUGGGCUCCGUGCAGAGCGCUGGCCUGGCAUGUGUGAGGCCCUGGGUUCGAUCCUUAGCACCGCAUAAACAUAAACAAAUGAAGAAAGAAAUGCUGUCCAUCUACAACUAAGCAACAUCUUGAAAGUAAAAGCGGCUGUGAGCAUAUGUGUUUGUGGGAACAAGCACGCAUUAGACCUAGGCUGGGGCUGGUGCUGGGGCUCAGUGGCAGAGCGCUUGUCUACCAUCCGUGAGACACUGGGUUCAAUCCGCAGCACCAUGAAAAAGUAAACGGAUACAAUAAAGGUAUUGUGUCUAUCUACAACCAAAAACAAAGUUUAAAAAACAACAGGUUUUCACUUCACCUGGGCCUGGGCUUGUGUGUCAUGUGGCUGGUGAAUGCUCUGCGAGUUCCAGUGAACCCCCACUCUGCACCCCAUGUCCCCACCGGCUCUGUGGGGGCUCCAGUGGUGGGCACCCUGGGCCUCCGUGGUGCAUGGCUGCUUCCUUCUCAGCAGUUCCAGCGAUGGAGUGACUCACUGGGGGCUGAACGGCACGCCGGCCACAGUGCCUGCCUUUUCCUUGGCCAGUCCUGCUGGGGGUCUCCAGUGCUAUUCUUCUUUUCCCUGAAAAUCAGCUUCUGCCUCUUCUCUGCAUUUAGUUGUGUUUCAUUGCCAGUUUCUUUAUUAUACCCUCUGGAUAAUUUGCUAUUCUUUUCUAAUUCAUUGACUUUCUGUUUUGCUUUUUAUCUAAUACACAUGUUGGCUCUGUUUUGAUUCUAUCAUGUUAGUGUUUACAUUCAGUUCAAAACAUAGUGACUUCUACGGUGACUUCUCUUCCACCCAAGGGGUCUUUGACAGGAGUAUUGCUUCGUGUUCAGAGUCUGGGCUCGGGCUGCCGUCAGGCUGGUCCCCUGGGUGCUCCUGUGCCUGGGGCUGGUCCCUGGGUGCUCCUGUGCCUGGGUGGUUUCAGCUCUCUGGGACCUGGGAGACUUGCUCUAGGACCCGUCCUGCCUCUUUCAAUGUUUGUGGGCCAUCCAAGGCAGGUGGUGCCCCUCUGAGGUUGUCUAGAACAGUGUCCCUUAGGUCACUUUUGCUGUUGGUGUUGUUCUAAAUCUUAUAGAAACUCACCAAGGUUUUUUGUAGGCUCAUUCUACCUGUGACAGAGCCAGAAUCUCCCACGAUGAUUGUCGCUUCUUUAUUACUCCCGUAAUUCUACAUUGUAUGUUAGAUAUUUGGAGACAAUGUUACCGGAUGAGGUAGAACUUUAGACUCAUUGUAUCUUCCUGGUAGGUUGAACAUCUUCUUAUUAUAAAGUAAUAACUUUUGCUUUAUGAUCCAAAGUCUGAUUUUUAGAUAUUAAUAAGGCUGUAUCAGCUUUGGGGGUUUAUUUUUACUAUGGUAUGUCUUUCUCUAUGAUUUUACUUCCAACCUUGGUUUUUGUUUUGGAUAUCUCUUCUCUUUAUUCUUAAAAAGUGUUUGUGUGCUGGGGUCGUGGCUCAGUGGCAGAGCACUCGCCUGACG